rnacentral:lncRNA from 1 species
CUGACCUUCAGCUCCGUCCCUUGACCUGGCCGGGUGACGGGGCUCCAGAACCCAGAAUCCACCUCCUGGGUGUGUCUCAGGGUAGCUUUGCAGCAGCAGGAGAGAUUUAGGAUCAGGUAAAAGGGUAGAUUCACAGCGGGGCUUCAAAAUAAUCAAUAAAAACAUCCUCAGUGGCAUUAACAACAGUACCCAACCCUACGUGGUUGUAUUAUAUCAAUAUUACUCAUGAUCGACAGCCGUGAUGCGUCCACGCCAUCUUCACAGGACUGCCUCAUUUGCCCUCACAAGGCGAUCGUGUCAAUACGACAGUUAUCUGCAUUUUACAGGUUGGGGAGUCCUGCCCGCCUCUCCCAGGAAGCUCCAGCGCCCCCUUCCCUGAAUCCCAGCCUGCAGAGCUUCUCUUCCAGACGCAGGUGCCACCGUUCGCGAUGCUGGGAGCAGAGCCGCCCUGGUCGAUGUCGGGAAAACCUCUCCGUCUUGGUCUGUCUGCACGCUCUCAGUCACAAGCAGGAAAACAGCCUCAGCAUUAAUCCUGGGCAAUAAAUUGCGGUAGACGCACUGCAGGAAAAAUCAGGGCCUGCCCCGUCUCAGCUCUGGGAUUGGGGUCCUGAGUGAUGGAGCAGACGGAAGCCCCCUCGGGAGUCCAGCGGCCCGGGUCGUUACUCUAGGACUAAAGUCCUCACGGAUGAAAAGGCUUAAUUUUUCACUCAGGUGUGAAACAGACCAGGGCUUUCAGCCCUUCUUCUGCUGCAUGUGCAUGACGGAUGCCGGUCAAGUGUGCAGCAGACACACUCCUGGGGGCUGAUGCGGACUCGACAAGCCCAGAAAGGUUCCACCGGGGAGUGAAUAGAGACGGCAGCCCCUGAACACCAGGAUGGACGGCUCUGCUGUGAAGGACUCACCACCCGGACACGAGGCUCCUCCCCAGCCCCUCCCCUGCCUCCCCUGGUGCUCUUGGCUCUCCCUGUGGGCUGCCCCUCCCCACAUUCUGUCCCUUUGGGCCAGGUGGGGCCCUCGCCUUUUUGUACACGUAAAUCACGUGAUGGGGCCCACAUAGUAAACAGACAUCCUCCCUAGGACAGCACUCUGUGGGGUAUGGGUCACAUGACCUCAUCAGGGCCCAUCGGAGCAAGAUCAGGACCACUGCAGAAGCUACUGGGGAAGGACUGUGCUCUUUCUUAAGCACAAGUGAGCUGGGAGGUGCUGCAGCAUUGAUGGGGUCACAGCCAGAGGGGAUUCCGGGGCUCCCAGGGGACAGCAUGUGGGGCCUGAGAUGGAAGCAGCACAGGAGGGAAGAGCUGAGAGCCAGAGAGAGAGAGAGCAGGAGAGAGCACGGCGGAGAGAGAGAGAGAGCCAGAGAAAGAGAGAGGAGAGAGGAGAGAGCAGGGGAAAGAGAGAAGGAGAGAGGUGAGAGCAGGGGAGAAAUAGGAAAAAAGAGAGCAGGAGAGAGCCGGGAAGAGAGAGAGAGAGAGAGAGACCAGGAGAGAGAAAGAGAGCAGGGGAGAGACAGAGAGAGAGAGAUGGAGUGAGAGAGAGAGAGAACGUCCUGGAGAUGUCUCUAGAGGCCAGAACACAGCCAUACCUGAAACCAGCUAGAAUAACCUAGAUUUCUUCACUAUGUGAGCCAACACAUUCCCGGGCAUCUGCUGAUUGGCAUCAGGGUUUCUGAUGCUCCACAGAGAACUGCCCCCAGCUGUUUGCCCUCUCCUGACUGUGGACAGCUGAGCUGGGCAUUUGUCCUGCCAGCUGUGACCCCAGACCCUCCUAUCUGGUGACACAGCGCGUCUGAAUGUAGCAAGGGUGAAGUCACCUACCGUCAAUUACUC